rnacentral:rRNA from 1 species
CAGAGUUUGAUCAUGGCUCAGAUUGAACGCUGGCGGCAUGCUUUACACAUGCAAGUCGAACGGUAACAGGGUGCUUGCACCGCUGACGAGUGGCGAACGGGUGAGUAAUACAUCGGAAUGUACCCAGUAAUGGGGGAUAACGCUUCGAAAGGAGUGCUAAUACCGCAUACGCCCUGAGGGGGAAAGUGGGGGACCGCAAGGCCUCACGUUAUUGGAGCAGCCGAUGGCUGAUUAGCUAGUUGGUGAGGUAAAGGCUCACCAAGGCGACGAUCAGUAGCGGGUCUUAGAGGACGAUCCGCCACACUGGAACUGAGACACG